rnacentral:ncRNA from 1 species
CAUCCGGCGGGAGGCGUCGACGCGCGGUCGGUCAGCCACGGUCGCCCCCUGACCGCGCCGAGCCACUGGCUAGCCCGGCCCGCCCGGCA